rnacentral:rRNA from 1 species
GUAGGUGGCAAGCGUUGUCCGGGAAUUAUUGGGCGGAAAGCGCGCGCAGGCGGUUCUUUAAGUCUGAUGUGAAAGCCCACGGGCUCAACCGUGGAGGGUCAUUGGAAACUGGAGAACUUGAGUACAGAAGAGGAAAGCGGAAUUCCACGUGUAGCGGUGAAAUGCGUAGAGAUGUGGAGGAACACCAGUGGCGAAGGCGGCUUUCUGGUCUGUAACUGACGCUGAGGCGCGAAAGCGUGGGGAGCAAACAGGAUUAGAUACCCUGGUAGUCCACGCCGUAAACGAUGAGUGCUAAGUGUUAGGGGGUUUCCGCCCCUUAGUGCUGCAGCUAACGCAUUAAGCACUCCGCCUGGGGAGUACGGCCGCAAAGGCUG